CGCGCCGCCGCCGGCCUUGGCCUUGGGGCCCAUGGUGGCCUGGUCCAGGCGGCGAGCCAUGAAGGCCUCCAGGUCCCCGAGCAGCUGUGGGGAUCUCUGGCGGGAGCACCCCGCGUCCACCAUGCUCCCGUGCAGAGCAGCCAUCGCACAUGAGCAGGAAGUUGCACGCGGCCGUGGGGCUCUCCGGCGGGAGCAAGAUGCGGCCGGACGGGACGGCGCGGCGUCCGGGAGCCACCGUGCUGUUUAGUGCGGCAGCACGGCAGCGAGGCUGCUCCCGGACCCAAAUGCGGCCUCUUCCGUGGUGGCUUGGACCGGAUGGCGGUGAUGGUGUGCGCGUAGGCAUCAAUGGCGUCAUCGACCACGCACUCGUCGCUGGCUCUGGGAAGGCACUGUGGGCAUCUGCACCCAAAGCUAGCUGUGCACCUAACCGAGGUCCUUUCCUCAUCCGCACGUACAAGGUUAUAGUGCCUCUAUUCUUCACCCCCACCCCCUAGUUUAUUUGCUGCUAAGUGUAAAUCAUCUUGAUGCAUGUAGAUGAUGUGAUUUUGCUGCCAUUACGAAUUGAUGUUGCUAUGAUGAAGUGUAUGCUAUCUCUUUGUGUAGCUCAAGUGAUUUUGUAUACUAGGUGCAGGUUGUCACUUUAGGUACAUGAGUACCUUUUGGUCCUAUGAUAAACUGAUUUUAGUGUAAUAUUGAAGUGUGCUUUGCGUGAUCAACUGAUAAAGUGAUGAUAAUUAAUUUACAUGUGUGAUACUGACUGCUUAUGUUAUGUGAUAAUGUUCCUAGGUCUUUCAUACAAGUGACCAGAGGAACUCUUAGGUAAUUUUUCUACAACUACUGGUAGUUGGUAAUUUUCCAUUGCGGUUUGUCAGAACUCUGGUUUCAUAGUAGUGGCACCGGCAAACAUGAUUAGCAUAAACAAGCACACAUUAUAAAGUCUUUUAAUUUACAGCAGUACAACACAUAACUAACAUGACCACGUUCACAUGCUUUACUUAUAGCAUGAGCACACAUUAUACAGUUUCCAAAUUGGAAGGACUACUACCCAUAAUUAACAUGACGAAGGACUCAUGCCAUAUUUACAGCAUUAGCACACAUGAUAUAAUUAGUUUUGUAGUGAUGCCAACACGUCCUCAAUUAGCUGCAUAUCACAACCAAGGCUUUUUGGCAGCUUGCCUAGUGCCUCCAGCCGAUCUUUAUCAAUGUGUGGGAUCUUGUAUCUAUUUCCUCCGCCAUCUUUCAUCACCUCAACCAAACACCCUUGUAGUGUUAGGAACACUCUAUUCAAAGUGUCUGGAUCAUAUUUUUCAAACUCAUUCUCUACAUUCGCGAUCAACUCAUCCAAGUUUCUAGAGAUCCUGUCAUAGGUUAGGGAUUGUAGAGAAUUGAAGAAUCCCAGGUCUAGCACAUUCAAAUCUGGGGAAUUGGCAGGUUGGUUGAUGAGUUGUAUGUCAAGCCCUGUCCGUGCUACUGCAGCCCUAAACUCUUUAUCAUUUACUGGCACAUGUGAAAGAGCAUUAUCUUGCUGAAUAUAAAUAGUUUUUCCUCUAAGUUCCUGAGGCCACCAUUGAACAAUAGCAUCUAGGACUUUAUCGAUUAGAUAUGACCUCAUAGUAGCCUGAUCUACCUUGAUAGGUUUGGUUACUUCCGCCCCCCUUCCUCUAUUACGACUUCUUCUUUUUGCUGGUUCCUGUAGUAAAUGAAAUCUAGUAAGGACCUAAAAUUUGUAGCACAAAAUUUAUGGAAGAAAGUGAAACAUGUGCAUACAGUAUGUUGUAUGUACCUUUAUAACAAAUGGCCACACUCCCAGCUUCCCAUAAAAAAUAUAGUUACCUGCGUCAUCAUAUAUUGGUCUUCCAACAGCUGCCAAUAACAUAACUUUUGCCAAUGCGAUUCUUAUUGUGCAGAGUCCUGUGUGGAUCAUCCUCGUCGGGAGCCAUAUAAUAGUUUAUGUACUUGCAUGUUGUGUUGAACCAUUUCUCGUCCAUAUGGAUGAUGUUGUACAUUUCAAUGAACUUGGGGUCAUUUGGCAGUGUUCGUUGAUCUAACAUGGAAAGACACCAUCGUAACCUAUCUUUCUUGUUUUCUUCUGUCAACAAAAGCUUUAGUGUGCUAGAGUGGUGUCGUAGUAGGCCUUCCUUGAACCAUCUAUGCAAAGUGCUCUUCUUUACACCAAUAGCUUUAGCUAGAGAUCGUAUAGUCCUCCUUUUGUGCAAGGGAACUCUAACAACAUCUGAUAGAUUAAUUUGUAUCCUUUUGCGGCCACAAUUCUUUCUCCGUGAUCUAACAUCCACUGGUAUUCCUUGUGCACGACACUGCUUCACUCUCCGCCAAACACGCCGUACUUGAUAUUUACUGACUUGGAACAUUUGCGCUACUAUAUUUGUUGCAUUUCUUUUUAAUUUUCCACGAUUACUUCUCUCAAGCAAUGCUUUAUAUAUUCCUUGCCUUUGCGCAUCUGUCAAAUUUCUAGACUGAUGUUUAUUAUUUUCGUGCCUUUGUUCAUGGACUUCAAUAUCGGAGUCCUCCAGCUCCUCUUCAUCAAAGAUUAUGUCCACAACAUCAUUGUACACACCAUAAUCAUGCAUAUCCUCGAGCAUGUCUACAAAAAAAAUCAAGUUAGGCAGCAGUACGAAUUUGGUGUUACGACUGUUGGCAAAAGAAAAAUCCAUGCUUACUGGAUAUGCAUAUAUUAAUAGAUGCAGUAUGUUUAGUGUUUGUACCAAGAGGAUAUCAAUUCCAAAUGCAUUUAGGAAAAUGCUCUGAAACUAGUUUAGUCAAUGUACGCAUAGAAUAAUUUAAGUAAAAAGGGAUGCUAAUUUGAGGCUUACUGAUCAUUUGAUGCAUCUCCUGUUGCUGCUCUGAGGCUGGAGGUUGAGGUCAAAGACGCCGUAAUCAUGUGGACCAUCAAAGAUGAUAUCUCCAUCUUGUAGGCCAUCAGAAGCUUGUCAUCUGAAGCUAGUAAGUUGAGGUCAAAUACAUUGUGUUCGUUUGGACUGUGAAAGUUGAUAUAUCCAUGUUGUUGAUGAUCGUCCCCAACCGCAAGGACUACAACAAGGAGGGACAAGGGUAGGCAAUUGAAUGUCCCCAACAGCAAGGACUUGUAAGAAUUGAAUUAAGAGAGACAUUACCUAUAUCAGGAUCUUGUUGCUGUCCCUCACAAGCAGGAACGUUUAGAUCUAUGGCAUGCACAGCGCUGUGUUCCCCUUCAUAGAGAUACUGGACUUGACCUUGGAGUUGAUGGACUUCAUUUCCUUCUUGGAGAUGAACUUGAUCUUUAUGAAGAUGGUGGAUUUCGUCUCUCUGAGGUUCUUCGUUGAGGUCAAGCUGAGAAAGAUGGAGUCGAUUGAUGCUGAGGAGUUUGGAUCAAUUGGAGCAAGUGGAUGCCUCACGAGCAGGUGGAGUCUUUUGUAGUGGGAGCAUUGGCGGGGAGUUAAAAUUUUAAUCCCCAGGCACACUGAGCGCCAAAGAGUUCCUGGAAGUUUCUGUACUGGUCUUUGAUGGUCUUUUGUAUGCUGCCACGUGCUUGGUUUUUUUAUUUGUAUGUGCACUGUAACUUGCACAUGGCUGACACAUUUAUAAGGGCAUUAUGGUAAUUUCGCAUAAACAGUA